ensembl:lncRNA
GUAUGUUGACAGUAUGGCUGGGGGGGAGCAGGGGAAAAAAAAGGAGGGGGGAAAAAAUACAUCCUUUAUUUUUUAGGGUCUAUAGGAGCUGCCCACCACCAGGCAGUAUUGAAAGAAUUUCAUCUUAACAAUGAACAGGAAAAAAUUGCAUUGGAAGAAAAACAAGGAUGUUUUUUGAAAUAGCUGGUAAAACACAAGGAAAUAGACAGUAGUUAAGUCGUUUGUUCAUACCAUGUAGGAGAUCUGUGGAAAAAAGAGCAGUAAGUAAUCUUAAAAUGAGAACAGUACAUUCUCUCACCCCAGGAAAUAACUGUGCUCUUAGGUCUUCUUUAAAAUCAAAGAAAAACAAUUUUUUUAAAGUAAAAGCCAUCAAAAUUUUUCUGUAAUCUUCUUUGCUUUACAUUGCAUAAUAUUUUACAAUGCAGUGAAGUAAGAGGUAUUUUAAUCAAUUAAAACACUUACACUGUUAGUAUCAAGAGCAUUAAAUAAGACUAUUCUGCCAGAAUUACUAUAAAUGAAAGGUAAUUUCUGGUUUACGAGCAUACUGUGUAAUAAAGUAAAACAACUUCAAACUUUCUGGCCUUAAGACCCUCAUCGUGCAUCUGUGUCUGAAUCCUGUUUUCUUGAGGAAAGAGCAUCUCCAAAUAUUAAUUAUCAGCUUAAUAAAGAAAGCUCACUGAACUUACCAAGUGUUAGCAUGUUUCAGCAAAAUGCAGUGAUUCUGGGGUGCAGAUGUUCUACACAAGAUAUUUAAAAUAAUUCCUCCUCUGUCUUUGAUGUAUUGGUAAGGCUCAGAGUACUGUUUUGGGCACCAUAAUUCAAGAGAAACACAGACCCACUGGAGAUGGUCCAGGAGGGAGUAGGAAGAAUGUGCAACAGUCUGCAGGGAGCAGGUGGGAGUGUGGAAGGAAUUGGCAUUGUUUAGUCUAGAGAGAAGACUAAAGCAAGAUGAAAUGACAGCCUGUAGAACUGUUACUGCAAAGCACAAAACAUAAAGUACAGUUUGGAAAAGAAAUAAUGAAAAAAACAGAUCUGUUAAAGUUUUAUUAAAAUUUUCUGUCUACAUUUGGUUUUCAGUUUAAAUGUUAAAUGCAAGUAGCUGCCAAUAUUGUGUAGUGCAAGUAAGCUCUGUACAUAUGUUUUAACUUCAAAGUCCACUCUAAAAAUGUAAACUCUUACUGGGAUCUCUUGUUGGUUUUCUUUUAAUAUAUUAAAUAGAUGUCUACAGUAGAUCAUGCCCACUUGAGAUGACAGGAUUUUAAUUUCUGAAUUGGAACUGAACAUAAUCUAUUCCAUUACAAGUAGCAGCAUUCUAUUUUUAUGUAGGUUUUCAUUUGAUUUUUCACACCAACAGAAAAGUCUCAUAAGAUGAUAGAGGUUCAAUCUUAUCUUCUCAUUGAGAUUUGUCUUUUUGUAGGCUACUGAAUAGAAGUAUGAGUUUUGCUCAUGCUGUGUACACUCUGGGCCACUGUCUUAUUUCCAGAACUAAGACAUAGUUUUAGACUUUCAAGCCAUAGCUUUUCAGUUGUUCCAAAUCUUUCUUUACUUAAACAGGAAACUUUUUUUUUCCUGUUUAUAUCAUCUUCAAGUAUCUUAGAAUGCUUUGGAGCUGAGUUUUCAGUCCUAUCUUCUUGCUCCAUUUCGACUCAUUUCUACAGAUUAAUAUAAUUCAAUGAAAAAAUCUGUUAUAGCUAUAAUCAAGACAUAAGCAAUCCAGGAGAGAUAUGUAGAUAUGCAUAUCAUUAAAAAAAAAAUCUUGUAAACUAUAAAUACCAGGAAAUAAGAGAGCAAAGGACAUUUUAGACUCCUAAACUGAACCUCUGGAAUUUCUUACUUCCUAUGUGUAAAGGAGUUAAUAGUAUAUGUACUACUCACAUUUACUUUAUUCAUGUUUUCAGAGACGUAAUCUUUAGAAGGAGAGUUUAUCUGUGAUCCUAGUCAGAGAAGAUGAAGCUGGACUUUCCUGUUCAGAGUACUCCUAGACAUCACCAGAAGUGUCAGGUAGAUGGUGUUCCCCCUAUCAUAAUUGUAUUUUACUAUUCAUUCUUAUCUCCUCGAGGUUGCAAGUCUUCUGGAGUAUUUACUGUCUUGACAGAAUAUACUAACUGCAGCACAUACAGUUGUAGAGAGACUUCUGCUUUGCAGUAAACUGUCUUUUACAGUGAGAGUUUUCAACAACUAGGUGUCGAAGCUAAACUAUCAGCAGUAUUGUCCUUGUUUUUAAAAAUUUGAGAAAAAUAAAGGAUUGAAGGUGGGAGGAUUAGCCACUCUUCUGCCGACUACUAAUAGAGUCAAAAAAAGGCACUCAUGCCUCAAAUCCCAAUCUUGCACUGUAACUAGUAGACAGCACUCCUGAAAGUACUUUGGUGACUCUCAGCAGUGAAACCUGGCUAAAGCGUAGUGCAGUGCAGCCUCUCUACAGUGAGUCAUAGUAGUAGUCAGAAAGGAAUGGUAUAAAAGGCCCCAAAACUUUGCUUCAUGACUUACUGUUACCCACUCACCUUUUGGGAGAUCUAGGAAAACUCUUGCCUCUCUUGGUGCAUUUUAGGUCCUACACUAGAAAAGCUAAAAUGAGGGGAUAUCAAAUAAUAUGUGCAAAAAAGAAGUAGAGAGGAUGUCCAACUAAUUAGGAUUGAGUUUGUGGCAAGCUGUUCUAACCGAAUGAACAAACAUUCAUCAGAUAACCCCUUUCUCCUGUCCUUGAUACUUUUGCCAUUCUAUAACUUCGGAUGAUAUGACUAUUCUUGGGAAAGAAUUGCAUUUCAGCAAUAGAACAAAGACUUAUAUUCUGUACAGUACAAAAUGAAUGGAAGAUACACAAGAAUGCAUCAGUGCUUUGAGUUACAUGCCUAGGGCUGCAUCAUCUGGAGUAUAACUUAGAAAACUGCUUUUGCACUUGAGAUGGAUACCUAAUACUAUCCUGAAAUGACUGUGGUGGAAACUGUGUGAACAUUCCUCGGCUGUACCUGCAGGAGAAGGAAUGCAGAGAUGUUAAAUCUGCCAUAUUUAUAUCUGCUGUGAAAUACUGGCACGCUCUUGCAAUCAAACUAAAUAGUUUCUUUUUUCAAUUGUCAACAACUGAAAUUUUCCAGAUUCCCGUCUUCCAUAAUUCUCAUGGGUUUCAGAGUGAAUGGAUUGAUCUCUAAAUAUGCCUAUAUAUAGCUUACUUCUUCCAUACUGCAUUUUUGGAUUGUUACGUAAGUAGGCAUGUACAAAGCUUGUUGAUUUCUCCUGGUUUCUAUGAUGCCACCUAAGUCACAUGUACUGUAUUUUAGACAUGAAGAGGAAUACUGUAACAUAACUAUAAAGAAAACAAAGAUGACUUCUGAAGGGGUGUACUGUAAUGUGUUUUCAUAUAUAUGAUAAACCAUUAUAAAAAAAGUGAUUGGAGCCAAUUGAAUAAUCUCACUGGCUAUUUAUUGUUUUUCCAAAAAUAAAUGUGGCACUGUGCAUUGAGAUGUCUACUACAGAUGUGCUGCAGGAGAAUCCAUUACUUAUCAUAGAUCUCUUUGAAAAAUACAUUCUUCCUGUGCAGAUGGAACAUUUUGAUUUCAGGACUGUGGGAAACCAGG